ensembl:lncRNA
UUUUUUUUGUAUACAUAUCAUUCCAGUUUUCACUUCCUGCCCUUUUUUGUUCAUAUUUACUCAGAAAAUUUCCUUUAAUGACUUCUAAACUGUUUUCACACAGUCAAACCAGAGGUUCCUGCAGCAGACGCAGAAGACUCCAGACCAGAACCAGUUCCUAGAUCCAAACCUCUGAGUUCCAGCUCCAAACCAGCACAAACCACCAAACCCCCCCUGGUAUCCCGCACAUCUGGACUCUUAAGCCCAGUUCACCCCAAACCGGGUAAGAUAUAACUCUCUUUCCUCGUGUCUGUGUUGUUAGAAAAUUAACAACUUCCUGUUUCACAGAGGACGCCGCGGAACAUCAAGCAGGCGUCUCGUCUCCCAAAGCCCCACUUCCUGCCCCCCGCCUGAAGAGGACGCAGUCGGAGCAAGACCGUGAGAGCAGCAGCAGCCCCACUGGACCUCCAUCUCCACCCAAUGUUGAUUCUGCAGCAGAUGGAGAUUCCUUGGAACAGCAAAUUGCAGGAAGUGAGUCCAGCGGCAGCGGCGGCGGUGGCAGACAGUGGUCCUCUCUAAAGAGUUCAUCCAGUCUUCCACUUCCCCAGGAGGAUGAACGUGAGCGCACCAAGUCCCUGCCUUCAUACCCUUCAAACACACACGUGAGAACUUUGUCUCAGGCGGACUCCGACUCCGCUUCACCCGCCGACCUCAGUAAAUCAGAAGACGACUCCGGUGACGAGUCUCCCCAGGGCUGAACCCUGCUCCACAGCGCCCCCUGCAUUCAGGAGUCUUCCUGCCGUCCUGCCAAACUGAACCCAGAACAGCCCGAACAACACGUCAAACCGAAGGGUUUCCAGGCGGUCAGCGCAAAAAUGCAAAAACCUCAUUUAGUCCAAAAGACUGAGGGAAAUCAGGGUAACUGUGAGCGCGUCCAGAACGCCUUCUUUCUGUUUUGGUCUGGAGAGAAACAUUUCCUGGUGUGUAUUUGUAGCUGUCACGUCCUUACGGAUUAUUCUCCUUUUUUUUAAAAAUAAAUUGUUAAAAAAACACAUAUAUAUAUAUAUUUUCAGUAGCAAAGCAGAUCAAAUCAGCUUUGACCAAUUUAACAGUUAAAUAUAAUUAUGUGUUUAUCAUUUGGUUUAUCAAAAACACAAUUUUAUCAAUUUUAUUCGUAAUUUCUUUUUAUUUUUACAUUGUUAUAGUACGAUUUUAUAGUAUAAAUCACUCCUUUGCUUUGUUUUUCUUAAAAUGUAAUUUUGUUUGAAAUAAUUCAAAUAUCAAAUAUCUUAAAUAUGUUAAACUCACGAACAGAAAAAUGAGAUGACUUUAGUUCAAAUAAAAAUAUAGUUUCUUUUUUUGUGUUUAACAUUCAAAUAAAUAAAAACACUGUUGCCACUUUCUCACCCAAACUAUGCUGUUGGUGAACUGCUGCACAUGCUGGUGUAUAUGAAUGUAAAUAUAAGCUCUCUGUUGUUGUUUUUUAUAAAUCAAAUGGGGUUUUUAUAAGAUUAAUGCAGUAAUAUAGUUUAUUUGUGUUAUAAAUGUUGGAUGUUUAUGCUUCACUUUGCAAAAUAUGUCUGUAAAUGUGCAUUAUUUUGCUUCUAAAUCAUUGGUGAUGGGAUUUUUUGUGCAUUAUAUUAACUGGGAGAAUGUAAAAUCAAUUUUAAUGACAUAUAGAGCUGCAAAUAUUUCUGUUUUUGAAAGUUUAUGCCAAUGAACGCAUUAAAUAAAAAUGAUUCUCUGUGUUCCC